AUGGCUGGUGACACUCGCUAAGCGCAAAACAAGGGUCAGUUGCGAAAGCGAUGUUUUGCGAUUUCAGAAAGAUGGUAGAAGACCGAAAACACCCAGAGAUCCCGAGGCACUAUUCUAGGAAGGCAUUGAGGCACAAUAGCUUCUGCCGAUUUGGAAAAAAAAGGAGGUGAAAAAAACAUUCGACAGAAAUAGGUUUUUCCCGUGCACAUGGUCUGAAUAGCUCAUAUAUCCAAUGAACGGUGUAACGAAAACGGUAUACAGCUGCGAAUUUCUUUUAGUUCGGAGCAAGAUGCGAGAAGUAACAGCUGUGCUCACUCUUCUGUUACUCUUUUUUAGUAGAGAGCAAGUGAUUGUAGAAGGACUUGAAGCUGGUACUGACGCCACAACAUCUAACAGUAUUGAUGAACACGCCUCGCUAACAAAUCAACUUCCGGAAAACCGCUGCCGCUCGAAGUACGAGGUAUACAGCCAGUGCGAGAGCAGCAGAUGCGCCGAGUGGAAAUGCUCGUACCUCUACAGAGGAUGGCCUCGACGCUGCACACGUGACUGCUUAGCCGGAUGUUUUUGUCGGGAAGGGUACUUCAGAAAUUCGGCCCAUCGUUGUGUAUUAGGGUACCACUGCUUCAAGGAGUGCAGUCUUUACGAGCCCAAACGCGGAGAGUAAAGCGUACUGUUUACACCAUCGAGAGAGUCACUCACUUCUGUGGUAGUUGAAUUCGGCGAAAUGGGAAAAAAAAGUUCUAGCGAUUGUGAAAGUGGAGAAAUAAAACCCAUGUCGGGAAAUUUGGGCAUCGCCAUCCCACAAUGGAUGUGGAAUUUUACUGACUUAUAUCUUUAUGAGUAAAUAUAAUUUGAUCAUGUCACAAAUGCG